CGGGUCGGCCGGAGGGGUCGCCCGUCGGUGGUGCUCCGGCAUUAUGCGGACGGGAGGAAAGUCCGGACACCGCAAGGCAGCAUGCCACGCGCAAGCGUGGGGGCGGCGGAGAGAUCCGGCGUCACGGAAAGUGUCACAGAAAACAAACCGCCGUCCGGCAACGGGCGGCAAGGGUGAAACGGCGGGGUAAGAGCCCACCGCUCCAACCGCGAGGAAGGAGGCACGACAAACCCCAUGCGGUGCAAGAC
rnacentral:RNase_P_RNA from 1 species